rnacentral:antisense_RNA from 1 species
CAUGCAUGCAUGCAUGCAAUCUCGGGGGCGCGACAAAUUAUUAUCGUGAAAUAAUACAUGCAAAGGCGCCAACCCCACAGUCAAAUAACAGAAAAGAACGAAUUAACUUCAUCUAAGUGAAAAUGAAGCCUAAAAAGUAACAGCUAUCCUUUAACAGAGCGAUACAUCUUAGUUUGUGGAUCCCAAGUAACAUGACCACCCUUGACAAGAUUCCUCCAACGAUCUUUGAGCCCCACUUCAUCACGGUUGGUCAACUUGGAGGUAGCUAGGAUGAUUCUCCAUUUUCCUAAUCCAAACUUAUUAACACCAUCAAUAAGCAAGCUUGUCUCCUCAUCACUCCAACGACGGUAUUGUCUUGAGACUCCAGUAUUGGGACUUGCUGAAGCUCUUUUAUUGGGGGCUCUUUUUGGAACAGAUUGCUGCUCAUCGUUUCUUCUCUUUUCAGAAACUAUUGGCUUUGGGGUAAAGUCUUCAGAUGAAUCUGAGCUCUCAGAAAUUCCCCUUACGGAAAUUUUUCUCCCAGUCUUGCCCUUAUCAUUUGAAUACAAAUUCAACCUCUUUGGCCUUUCAGACUCUAUUAGGUCAUCGUCCUUAAAAAGGCUUUUCCUCUUCAAGCUACUCUUCUCUAAAAGAACUCUACUUCUCUCAUUACUAGAACUAUUCAAACUAUUUUUUGAUGUACCACCAGCUAAAUAUUGUCUGAUUGCCUCACUCUCAUCCAAAACAGUAUUCUGUUCCUCUAAACUUUUGUUGUCUAAUUCCUGAAAGGAGCUAGCCCUGCUUCGAGAAUCUGAAGUAUCACUAGAGCUUUCCCCAUCUAUCUUUUUUCUGUGGCCCAUAUUCCUUAUAUACUUAAGGUCUGCUAGGUUAUUUCUUAAACAGUAGUUCAAAACCAAUUGCGUCGUCUUGACGACCUUUUCACUGUACCUCGCCUUGGGUCUCAACAAAUCUGGAAACUCUCUGCAAACCGACACAGCUCGCUCAAACCCAGUUGCCUCAAAAAUUGAAUUAAAUGGUUCCUUGGGAUCCACGUCAGGGGGAAUUGUUUUUUUUUUGUUAUCCUCCAUAGAUGACGUGUUUGAGCGGGCUGAGCUGGGCAGUGGUGCAUGUAAAUUUGUACAUGAAAGUGCGUCAUUAAUUGCAAUAAUAAACUCAGAAAGAUUGUCAAGUAACUCAUCAAGGGAGUGCUUUAAAACAACAUCAGUAAGACAUUUCAUGAAGGUUUCGCUCUCUGAAGUAUAUUUUUCUAAACAAUUAGCAACUGAAAGCAAGUUGUUGAUAUUUUUCUCCUUCAUAUUUCUCCAAAUCCCACAAACAGAGUCAAAAAAGGCAAUAAUAUCCGAGUACAUAAUUUGUGAGCACUCUGUAUAUUUGGAAAAGAAGGGUGAAAGCUUUUCAAUUAGAAUGUUGAAGCUUAGAAGAGAAAUAGGACCGUUAGGAUUAUACAAAAAGUUUGUGAGAAUAUGGUGAGUUAGCCAAUGAAAAAUCAACUUUGAGCUGAAAACCUUGCUAAACUCUAUUAAAUCAUCUGAAAACGUAAUAUCAAAAAACUCAUCGUCUUCUUCGAGUUCUAAUGACAGCUUUCCUACAUCCUCCUCUUUAUUAUGGAACAACUUGUAGAUCCACUUCAUCUGGUUCAGAAUAAAAUCUCCAUCAAAGUAUUUUCCCGAUAUUAAGGGGAUCUCAAGCCCAUGUGAGGACAUAUUUUGUUCAAAAUCAAAAGGUUUUUUGGAACUCAAAGCUGCAAUAUAAUAAGCAUUAGUCUUUAAAUUGUUUACUAACUCGUGAACAGGAUGAAUUAACAACUUAAAC